rnacentral:misc_RNA from 1 species
UCCGGUUUAACACCGGCAGUCUCCAUAGAGUGCCCAACUGAAUGAUGGCAACUAGGGAUAAGGGUUGCGCUCGUUAAGGGACUUAACCCGACAUCUCACGAUACGAGCUGACGACAGCCAUGCAGCACCUGUACUCCCUGUCUCCGAAGAGAAAAGCGUAUCUCUACACCUGUCAGGGGAUGUCAAACCCAGGUAAGGUUUUUCGCGUUGCAUCGAAUUAAACCACAUGCUCCACCGCUUGUGCGGGCCCCCGUCAAUUCCUUUGAGUUUUAACCUUGCGGCCGUACUUCCCAGGCGGGGUACUUAAUGCGUUAGCGUCGACACUGCAGGGGUCAAUUCCUGCAACAUCUAGUACCCAUCGUUUACGGCGUGGACUAC